AAACCAACAAGCUUGCUUGUUGGGGUUGUAGGACACUCUAUACGGAGUUACAAAGGACGACAUUAGACGAAUCAUCUGGAAAGAUGAAUCAAAGAAGGUAAUAAUCCUGUAGUCGAAAAUGUUGUCUCUCUUGAGUGGAUCCUGAGUACGACGGAGCACGUGAAAUUCUGUCGGAAUCUGGGAGGACCAUCUCCUAAGGCUAAAUACUCUCUAGUGACCGAUAGUGAACCAGUACCGUGAGGGAAAGGUGAAAAGCACCCCGGAAGGGGAGUGAAAUAGAACCUGAAACCGUGUGCUUACAAGUAGUCAGAGCCCGUUAAUGGGUGAUGGCGUGCCUUUUGUAGAAUGAACCGGCGAGUUACGAUUUGAUGCAAGGUUAAGCAGUAAAUGUGGAGCCGUAGCGAAAGCGAGUCUGAAUAGGGCGUUUAGUAUUUGGUCGUAGACCCGAAACCAGGUGAUCUACCCUUGGUCAGGUUGAAGUUCAGGUAACACUGAAUGGAGGACCGAACCGACUUACGUUGAAAAGUGAGCGGAUGAACUGAGGGUAGCGGAGAAAUUCCAAUCGAACCUGGAGAUAGCUGGUUCUCUCCGAAAUAGCUUUAGGGCUAGCCUCAAGUGAUGAUUAUUGGAGGUAGAGCACUGUUUGGACGAGGGGCCCCUCUCGGGUUACCGAAUUCAGACAAACUCCGAAUGCCAAUUAAUUUAACUUGGGAGUCAGAACAUGGGUGAUAAGGUCCGUGUUCGAAAGGGAAACAGCCCAGACCACCAGCUAAGGUCCCAAAAUAUAUGUUAAGUGGAAAAGGAUGUGGCGUUGCCCAGACAACUAGGAUGUUGGCUUAGAAGCAGCCAUCAUUUAAAGAGUGCGUAAUAGCUCACUAGUCGAGUGACACUGCGCCGAAAAUGUACCGGGGCUAAACAUAUUACCGAAGCUGUGGAUUGUCCUUUGGACAAUGGUAGGAGAGCGUUCUAAGGGCGUUGAAGCAUGAUCGUAAGGACAUGUGGAGCGCUUAGAAGUGAGAAUGCCGGUGUGAGUAGCGAAAGACGGGUGAGAAUCCCGUCCACCGAUUGACUAAGGUUUCCAGAGGAAGGCUCGUCCGCUCUGGGUUAGUCGGGUCCUAAGCUGAGGCCGACAGGCGUAGGCGAUGGAUAACAGGUUGAUAUUCCUGUACCACCUAUAAUCGUUUUA
rnacentral:rRNA from 1 species